AGAGUUUGAUCAUGGCUCAGAUUGAACGCUGGCGGCAGGCCUAACACAUGCAAGUCGAACGGUAACAGAAAGCAGCUUGCUGCUUUGCUGACGAGUGGCGGACGGGUGAGUAAUGUCUGGGAAACUGCCUGAUGGAGGGGGAUAACUACUGGAAACGGUAGCUAAUACCGCAUAACGUCGCAAGACCAAAGAGGGGGACCUUCGGGCCUCUUGCCAUCGGAUGUGCCCAGAUGGGAUUAGCUUGUUGGUGGGGUAACGGCUCACCAAGGCGACGAUCCCUAGCUGGUCUGAGAGGAUGACCAGCCACACUGGAACUGAGACACGGUCCAGACUCCUACGGGAGGCAGCAGUGGGGAAUAUUGCACAAUGGGCGCAAGCCUGAUGCAGCCAUGCCGCGUGUAUGAAGAAGGCCUUCGGGUUGUAAAGUACUUUCAGCGGGGAGGAAGGGAGUAAAGUUAAUACCUUUGCUCAUUGACGUUACCCGCAGAAGAAGCACCGGCUAACUCCGUGCCAGCAGCCGCGGUAAUACGGAGGGUGCAAGCGUUAAUCGGAAUUACUGGGCGUAAAGCGCACGCAGGCGGUUUGUUAAGUCAGAUGUGAAAUCCCCGGGCUCAACCUGGGAACUGCAUCUGAUACUGGCAAGCUUGAGUCUCGUAGAGGGGGUAGAAUUCCAGGUGUAGCGGUGAAAUGCGUAGAGAUCUGGAGGAAUACCGGUGGCGAAGGCGGCCCCCUGGACGAAGACUGACGCUCAGGUGCGAAAGCGUGGGGAGCAAACAGGAUUAGAUACCCUGGUAGUCCACGCCGUAAACGAUGUCGACUUGGAGGUUGUGCCCUUGAGGCGUGGCUUCCGGAGCUAACGCGUUAAGUCGACCGCCUGGGGAGUACGGCCGCAAGGUUAAAACUCAAAUGAAUUGACGGGGGCCCGCACAAGCGGUGGAGCAUGUGGUUUAAUUCGAUGCAACGCGAAGAACCUUACCUGGUCUUGACAUCCACGGAAGUUUUCAGAGAUGAGAAUGUGCCUUCGGGAACCGUGAGACAGGUGCUGCAUGGCUGUCGUCAGCUCGUGUUGUGAAAUGUUGGGUUAAGUCCCGCAACGAGCGCAACCCUUAUCCUUUGUUGCCAGCGGUCCGGCCGGGAACUCAAAGGAGACUGCCAGUGAUAAACUGGAGGAAGGUGGGGAUGACGUCAAGUCAUCAUGGCCCUUACGACCAGGGCUACACACGUGCUACAAUGGCGCAUACAAAGAGAAGCGACCUCGCGAGAGCAAGCGGACCUCAUAAAGUGCGUCGUAGUCCGGAUUGGAGUCUGCAACUCGACUCCAUGAAGUCGGAAUCGCUAGUAAUCGUGGAUCAGAAUGCCACGGUGAAUACGUUCCCGGGCCUUGUACACACCGCCCGUCACACCAUGGGAGUGGGUUGCAAAAGAAGUAGGUAGCUUAACCUUCGGGAGGGCGCUUACCACUUUGUGAUUCAUGACUGGGGUGAAGUCGUAACAAGGUAACCGUAGGGGAACCUGCGGUUGGAUCACCU
rnacentral:rRNA from 2 species